AGCGUUGAAGCAUAAUAGCGUACCGGGAUGCCUUGUUAUGCAGAGCUUUCAGUAGGGGUUGUGCAGUAACCUCAAACCGGAGUAGGCUGCAAAGCCGAAAGAAAAUGCUCAA
rnacentral:sRNA from 1 species